GAAGACCAAAACACCCCUAAUCGACAGCUGCAACCCACGCGUCCCCAGCAUCUCCUUCGUUCGCUGCUCCUUCGUCCAGCAUCGAUCAACUGAAGCAGCACCUCCAGCAAAUUCGGCCCAGCACGUUCGUGCGUCUUUAGCCCACACGAUUUCAGCCCAUAUUUCGGUCCAUCUCAGCCUGAGUGAGCCCAGCAGUUGGGCCAUUGGAAGCCCACAAAAAUUUGCAGCAGUCCAGCCUAGUGAAGCAAUUACUCAGCCCAUUAAAUAAGUCCAACAGCCCAAGUCUUGGCCCAG
rnacentral:lncRNA from 1 species